CCUGGAGACCCCGGGCCGCCCGCUGGUCCCCUCCACACUCUUUGCUUCGCCGCUGCAGCAAGGGGGACCCCUCCCGGCCUGUUUCCACAUGCAGGCUCCACGUGCUGGCGCAGGGGGCUUCGUUUGUCCUCGCAGGUGUCUCGGAAGCCAGCGGCUCCCCGCGAUAGACCUGGGACAGGCCCCAGGCAGUGCUUUUUACAAGAGGGAAAGAAGGGGCCGAGCCCGUCCCUCUAGGCGCUGGGACGCACAGGACACAGGCUGGGACACGGGCUGAGACACAGAAGAAUGGUAAACUUCAGAAUGAUGGCGGGCUUCAAGAGCUGGAGCCUUGAUUCGGAUCAGUGGGAAGGCAAUCCUCCAGAGAGGCACCCAAACCAAUAAAGAACGACUUC